AAAUGUGCUGCACCAAUAGGUCUCCCCAUCUUGGACAAGGGGUUCAGUAUAUGUGUUGGCACACACUUUCAAUGUUAUGGCAAUCAGUUUAAAAUAUUUUCUAAGCCUUCACACUUUCUGUUUGUACAGGAUCUCAGUUUCAGCUACGGGUGAAACACAAGAACUUUCUAACAUUUUUCUUUGGUAUGCACACCAUUUUGCAAUAUGCAUACAGUUCCAGAUUCCCAGGAAUAUAUCAAAGCUCUUGAAAGUCCUUUACAGGCUACUCAUGUCCCAGAUUUUUCUUCUAUGGUUUUUGUUCUCCUUCUUUGCCCAAACUAUCAACACUUUCUUGGGCAUCUGCAAUUUAAACAAUUGCUGCUCAUGGUUUUGAGCAAAUGCCUCAGAAAAGUAUUAUUCAUGCUGAGUGAACUCUGAGUCAGGUCAUAUAUUUUUUUUAAAUGUCCUUUUCAGGUAACUGACAGGUUAAAUAGUAACAAUUUUCUGAAGGUGGAACUUUUGUGAAACUGUAAAUCAAAUUCAUUCUGUUUCCUCUAAGAAUUGCUAGGCCAAUACUUUUUACAGCUACUGUGAUUUCAAGGUUGUUGGUUUUCAGUGCUACUGCAAAGCUAAGCAGAAAGAAAUUUGAAUAUGGGGCAAGAAAUAUUUCCACAGAAGAUUAAUCAGUUAAUCUCCUCAAGUCCAUGGGGACUUCAGCUCAAAAUACUCCAAGUUUGCUUUUCUAUGCAUUAUUUUAUUUCUUAAUGACACAAGAGAUGUGCUGUGUUCUCUUUGGAAACUGCUCAGUCAUUUUCUUACUCUGAUUUCUUUCUCCCUCUCUUGUUGAAAAAAAAAAUACAUUAAAAAGUCAA